rnacentral:tRNA from 1 species
CCUCCCGUAGCUCAGUGGCAGAGCGUCGGCCUUAUAAGCCGGUGGUCGUGGGUUCGAUUCCCGCCGGGCGGA